UACAGAGGGUGCGAGCGUUAAUCGGAAUUACUGGGCGUAAAGCGCGCGUAGGCGGCUUUGCAAGCCGGAUGUGAAAUCCCCGGGCUUAACCCAGAACGGCCAAGUGGAACUGUCAUGCUAGAGUGCAGAAGGGGCAAUCGGAAUUCUUGGUGUAGCGGUGAAAUGCGUAGAUAUCAAGAGGAACACCUGAGGUGAAGACGGGUUGCUGGGCUGACACUGACGCUGAGGCGCGAAAGCCAGGGGAGCAAACGGG
rnacentral:rRNA from 1 species